GAUUAUGGCUCAGGAUGAACGCUAGCUACAGGCUUAACACAUGCAAGUCGAGGGGCAUCGAGAAGAAAGCUUGCUUCUUGUCGGCGACCGGCGCACGGGUGAGUAACGCGUAUCCAACCUUCCCCUUAGUAGAGGAUAGCCCGGCGAAAGUCGGAUUAACACUCUAUGUUGUAUUUUGAUGGCAUCUGACGAAUACCAAAGAUUUAUCGCUAAGGGAUGGGGAUGCGUCUGAUUAGGUUGCAGGCGGGGUAACGGCCCACCUGGCCUACGAUCAGUAGGGGUUCUGAGAGGAAGGUCCCCCACACUGGUACUGAGACACGGACCAGACUCCUACGGGAGGCAGCAGUGAGGAAUAUUGGUCAAUGGGCGCGAGCCUGAACCAGCCAAGUAGCGUGCAAGGACGACUGCCCUAUGGGUUGUAAACUGCUUUUAUCAGGGAAUAAAGUGAGGCACGCGUGCCUUUUUGUAUGUACCUGAUGAAUAAGGACCGGCUAAUUCCGUGCCAGCCGCCGC
rnacentral:rRNA from 1 species